UACGUAGGGGGCAAGCGUUGUCCGGAUUCAUUGGGCGUAAAGAGCUCGUAGGCGGCUGUUCAAGUCGAACGUGAAAACUCGGGGCUCAACUCCGAGCCUGCGUUCGAUACUGGACGGCUAGAGUCUGGUAGGGGGAUCUGGAAUUCCUGGUGUAGCGGUGGAAUGCGCAGAUAUCAGGAGGAACCCCUGAGGCGAAGGCGGCGUCCUGGCCCGAUUCUGACAUUCAGACACGACAGCAUGGGGAGCGAACGGG
rnacentral:rRNA from 1 species